rnacentral:rRNA from 1 species
GUACACACCGCCCGUCACACCAUGGGAGUUGGUUCUACCCGAAGGCGCUGCGCCAACCGCAAGGGAUGCAGGUGCCGAAGGUGUCUUCCGUGAUUGGGACUAAGUCGUAACAAGGUAGCCGUAGGUGAACCUGCAGAAGGAUCA